rnacentral:rRNA from 1 species
AACGCUGGCGGCGUGCUUAACACAUGCAAGUCGAGCGAUGAAGCUCUUCGGAAGUGGAUUAGCGGCGGACGGGUGAGUAACACGUGGGUAACCUGCCUCAUAGAGGGGAAUAGCCUUUCGAAAGGAAGAUUAAUACCGCAUAAGAUUGUAGUACCGCAUGGUACAGCAAUUAAAGGAGUAAUCCGCUAUGAGAUGGACCCGCGUCGCAUUAGCUAGUUGGUGAGGUAACGGCUCACCAAGGCGACGAUGCGUAGCCGACCUGAGAGGGUGAUCGGCCACAUUGGGACUGAGACACGGCCCAGACUCCUACGGGAGGCAGCAGUGGGGAAUAUUGCACAAUGGGGGAAACCCUGAAUGCAGCAACGCCGCGUGAGUGAUGACGGUCUUCGGAUUGUAAAACUCUGUCUUUGGGGACGAUAAUGACGGUACCCAAGGAGGAAGCCACGGCUAACUACGUGCCAGCAGCCGC